rnacentral:rRNA from 1 species
AACGCUAGCUACAGGCUUAACACGAUGCAAGUCGAGGGGCAGCAUGGAGUCAGCUUGCUGACUCCGAUGGCGACCGGCGCACGGGUGAGUAACGCGUAUCCAACCUUCCCUAUACUAGGGGAUAGCCCGGCGAAAAGUUCGGAUUAAUACCCUAUGUUCUUCAUAGAUGGCAUCUGACGUGAAGCAAAGAUUGAUCGGUAUAGGAUGGGGAUGCGUCUGAUUAGGUUGUUGGCGGGGUAACGGCCCACCAAGCCAUCGAUCAGUAGGGGUUCUGAGAGGAAGGUCCCCCACAUUGGUACUGAGACACGGACCAAACUCCUACGGGAGGCAGCAGUGAGGAAUAUUGGUCAAUGGGCGCGAGCCUGAACCAGCCAAGUAGCGUGCAGGAAGACUGCCCUAUGGGUUGUAAACUGCUUUUAUGCGGGGAUAAAGUGACGUACGUGUACGUUUUUGCAGGUACCGCAUGAAUAAGGACCGGCUAAUUCCGUGCC